UACGGAGGGUGCAAGCGUUAUCCGGAUUCACUGGGUUUAAAGGGUGCGUAGGUGGGCAAGUAAGUCAGUGGUGAAAUCUCCGGGCUUAACCCAGAAACUGCCAUUGAUACUAUUUGUCUUGAAUACUGUGGAGGUCAGCGGAAUAUGUCAUGUAGCGGUGAAAUGCUUAGAUAUGACAUAGAACACCAAUUGCGAAGGCAGCUGGCUACGCAAAUAUUGACACUGAGGCACGAAAGCGUGGGGAUCAAACAGG
rnacentral:rRNA from 1 species